rnacentral:rRNA from 1 species
CAGUACGGUCGGAAAUCGUACGUAGAGUGUAAAGGCAAAAGAGAGCUUGAUUGCAAGACAUACAGGUCGAGCAAGGAUGAAAAUCGGACUUAGUGAUCCGGUGGUUCUGCGUGGAAGGGCCAUCGCUCAACGGAUAAAAGCUACCCUGGGGAUAACAGGCUUAUCUCCCCCAAGAGUCCACAUCGACGGGGAGGUUUGGCACCUCGAUGUCGGCUCAUCACAUCCUGGGGCUGUAGUAGGUCCCAAGGGUUGGGCUGUUCGCCCAUUAAAGUGGUACGCGAGCUGGGUUCAGAACGUCGUGAGACAGUUCGGUCCCUA